rnacentral:rRNA from 1 species
UACGUAGGGGGCGAGCGUUGUCCGGAUUCAUUGGGCGUAAAGCGCGCGCAGGCGGUGGCGUGAGCCCGGCGUGAAAGCCCCCAGCUCAACUGGGGGAGGCCGUCGGAGACCGCGGCACUUGAGGCCGGUAGGGGAGAGCGGAAUUCCCGGUGUAGUGGUGAAAUGCGCAGAUAUCAGGAGGAACACCGGUGGCGAAGGCGGAUCUCUGGGCCGAUACUGACGCUGAGGAGCGAAAGCGUGGGGAGCGAACAGG